rnacentral:lncRNA from 1 species
GGGUUUCCUAAUAACAAGGUUAUGGUGGUAAUAUCCCAGAAUGCCAAGUAGCAACAUGGAUGCCCCCCAACCUACCCUAGAGGGACAUCCAGAGUGUUUAUAAUCUGCAGGAGUAGCUUGAAGAGUGGCUUCUUUCUAUUUCAUGCUACCAUUGUGUUGAUUUUAGCGUUAGUAUUUCUCUUAUUUUAUCUCAUCACCUCUCAGCUUAUAUAACUCAUUUUAUCUCAUGGUAUCUAUAUUCAUGUCAACUCAUAUUCUAAGUAUCAUCUUUUGUCAUUUUAUUUUACUAUAUUGCAGAUUAUUUUAUCACAUUUUAGCUCAUGCAUCACUUUUCAUUUUAUAUUCCUUCAUCUUAUCUCAUCUCAUUUUAGUUUAGUUUAUUUUACCUCGUUUCAUCUCAUUUUGUCUUAUCUAAGUUAAGCAUACAUUAUCUUGACACAUACAAUGUCAUUCUAUUAUGUGAUUUCAAUUUCAUCUUCAUUUAUCUCACAUCAGCUCAUUAUAUCAUUUCAAAUUUUAUCUUCUCAUCUCAUCCUCCUGAUGUUUCAUCAUUUAUUUUAAAUAUUUAAGGUGGUAAUUGUAAUAACAGGCCUGUUUCUGCAGCUGAUUGGCUGACACCUAGCCCCUCACAUCAGAAGUAAAUGUUAAAAAUUACAAAAUAAAUCCUGAUGUUCUUGUUUGUUAUGUACAUCAUCGAAAGAGAUGAAAUUCAGUCUAUUUUAUCAAGGUAAAAAACUCCACACGGGAGCUUUAAUUAAGAAGUAAUCUUUAUCUUACCCUUAGCAGGAAGGCAAAAAGUAAAUGUCUCCAUCGAAGUUAAUUUCAGUCCCACUUCUGUGAGCUAUAAAAAGUCAUGUGCCAGUUUUGAGUGAAUAAUGUUAGAGGGAUUGUGAAUCUAAUGAAGGCUUUUCUUACUGUCCGCCUCCCUGAACAAAUCCUCUUUCUGCUGCAUGGUGCUGCUUUCAGAGGACAGACAUAGCGGCAGGUGAAGGUGUGGCGGUGAGCACCUGCUCUUUGAACAUGUGUCUGAUCACCCACCCACACAGAGAACGAGGAAAAGAGCGAGAGAAAGAGCUCCACGUGUGGACUCGCCGAGUGCUCCCAGCACACGUGCUCUUAGGAAAUAAACUGCUCCCUGACAUCGCUCUUUUUUCUUCCAGACACCAGCUCUGCUCAGAGAAUAUAUUAAUUUAUUCAUCACACCCUCCCUCUGUGAGUGUGUGUGUGUGUGUGUGUGUGUGUGUGUCCUGUAAUAGGUGUGUGUUCCAUCCUCAUUAGAGUAAACAGUACACACAUUACAGCCUGUUCUGCUGACAGUUUUAGGAUGAAGACGAUUAAAAUGAUGAAUGUCUCCUCCUGCAGCUGAAUCACAAGGACAGAUUACCCACAAUCCUCCGCUGUAAACACUGAGUCACACUCACACGUGGAGCUGUGGAGGGGAGUGAUCCAUCAAUAGAAGAAAACCUGCGAAGAAAAUGAACUUCAUCAAGGAAGCAUAGGCAAUCGAUAGCAAUGCCAAUAACUCUAAAUCGAUUCCAGCCAAAAAUAUGAGGAUGCAGAAAUUUAUAGACCAGAAAGGCAAAAACUGAGAAUCGCUUCAUCAAUAAACUUCAUAGUGAAACAUGUGAGCAUCUGUUCACAGGACUUUUAUUUCCCUUUAGUAUUAGUCAAAUUGAAGUUGGAUAACAAUAAGUUUUUUUUUCAGACCAGCGUCAACAAGAGGACACGAAAUUACUUUGUGCAAUACUUACUGAUAUAUGCAGAAGAGUCAGAGCAGGAGAAAAGACACAAAAACACAGGUAGGAAGAUAGUCUGACACAUUUCCAAUAUGAGCUUUAAUGUUUGGACUACAGAUGAAGAGUUGUUAACACUGGUGCACAACUUUAUGUGUGUAAAAAUAUUCUUUAAAAAACAGGUAUUUUUACUUAAACAUGUACGGGACAAAGUUAACAAUGAUAUGAGGGUCUUCUUUGUCCACAGGGGGCGACAACAGUCAAUACAAACUGAAAAUUCCUCACAGUGGCUUUAAAGCUCCUGUGAAGGACUCUUAGUCUGAGUCAAGUUUGACGCCCCCCUGUGGACAAAGCAGUCUUUACUUAUGUUGUCCUUAACCAGCUAAAGUAGUGUUUUCCGACAACAGAUUAAUCCUGCUGACUUCUAUCAGUCAAAAAAUCUUUAUUUUCAUCAUUUAUGUGAAGAUUAUGAAAACAGGACUGUUUUAGUGAUGGGCACAGCAGUUCUUUUACAUGUACUGAAUCACUGGACUCAGUUCACUAAAAAGAUUCGUUCAAAAGAUUCGUUCAUCGAAACACUGAAUCAUUCAGUGCUUGGUGGGAGGAGCCUGUGACUCUGACCCUAUUAAACUGAUACACAGCUGAACGGUUCAGGAUUCAGUUCAAUUUAAAGCUUCUGGGAGACAAGAGUGUUUGGCUAUGUUACUUUGGCAAACAACUUUGAAAACAUCAUGACUUAUAUACAAGUUAAUUUUUACAGUGUUCUGUCCUAUGGUAUGCUAUUUAUCAGGUCUGCUCGGUAAAUUGGGCUCACUGAGUGAUUCGUUCACUGAACAUUUAGAAGAAUUCAAACUGAACAUGUACCGUUCCCUCACAAACCGCUGCAAUGAUAGGAUGCUGCCAGUUUUAUGCACUACUUGUUACAUGCUGUGUCCUCUUGUAUGCAUGUCGUUGUGGUGGCAAUUUAGCAGUGAAAAAAAAGGUAGUUUUGUCCGACAAAAAUGAUCCCAGAGAUUGUAAUUCAAUGCGUGAUUCGUUUACCAAAUGAUUCAGGCGUCGGUGCAUGUGGUCCCUCGUUCACCGGCUGCUCGCCUGGCAAUGCUGCAGGCAAUAGCCUCUGCCCUGCUGACAGCUUAACUGAAGUGAGAAACGAACGAAUCACUUGAGGAAGUGAUUCGGUUCAAUAUGUUCACUUAAAAGAUUUGGUUCUUUUGAACGAAUCGUUCAAAAACACUAGACUGUUUCUUCAGCUGCCUGUCUGACACCUACCUGCCACAUCAAUUUCCAGUGUUAAGAAUUAAUGUUAUGAUAAUUAUAAAUCUUGAUACUAAUGGUCUUGUUUUCUUUUGCACAUCAGAAAAAGACAUCAGUAUGAAUUUCUAUCUCUUUUGUGAAUGUCUUAAAAAAAAACUCAGUGUGUAUCUGACAAUACAUAAUUAAAAAUUCUCAUCACGCUGGCUUCUGAAAGUUAAAUAUUUUACUUAAUGUACAAACUUGUCUGUCUCUGCACCCAUUUGGCUGACACCCCCUCACACCAGUUUUAGGCAUUAAAUUUUACACAAAAAAAGUUUUGUAGCUAGUGGUCUUGCUUGCCUUUUUACACCAUAGCAUGAAUUUCAGUCAAAGUCAUAAAUGUUUAAAGCUUUAAAUGAAAAAUCUGUUCAAUGCUUCAUCUUAAAGUCUUGAGUUAUUUGUCUUUGUCAUAUCAAAGUGGGACAAGAUGUUUUAUAUAUGUCUUUGAAUUCAGAAAAGAUGGACUGAAAUAUUGAACAAAGUUUCUCUGCUUGUCAACGUUCGAUACUGUGCAGCACACAGCCGAUAAACACUAUGUUCCUGCUGUCAGUGAUGAGUAUAAUUAACUGUGUCUUUGGGUUGCAGAGUGUAAUUAAUGAAUGCAUGAACACACUCCGCUUGCAGAGAUGUCAGAUCCUCUCCACUCUGAUAGUUAAACUGAUUUUCUUUUUUUAAUCUGCAGCCUCUCUCCUCUCUUUAGUUGAACAUUCACGCUGAGAUUGGCUUUGUUGCCUGAAAGAAAAGACUUCUGAGCAUUAACCAAGAAUCUCUUCACACACCAAGCUCUGUGCAUGAACAUGUCAAAGGUCACAGCCUGUAAAAAUCAGCUCUUUCUCCAGUGGAUACAAUAGAAAUAUCAGAGUUUAUUAAUUUACCGCGACUCCGUUCUCUGGUGAACAAACAGCUAACAGCGAUUCAAGUUUUGAUCAGAUUUAUUAUCCAGUAAAAACGCAGAGAUUACUCUGUGUGCGGGGAUGAAUUCAGCCUUCAGUCUCUGUGCUCCGCAGCUGCAGGAUUUAAUUUAUGCAGAAACAGAAAGAAACACACAGAAUGAGCCGGAGCAGCUAGACUACAGAGAGAGACAUUUACAUCCAUUUACAUCAGAGAUCCUGACAGGAUUAUCUGAUUAUUCUUUUACUGAAAGUUAAUCUGAUUUAUCCAGCAUGCAAUGUCUGAAAAUUAAAUCUCAACCAGUGAAUGAAUAACUGGAAAUAAACCGAGCUUUCAUCUUCCUGCAGCCUCAUGUACAGUUUUAACAGAGGUUGUUUUUGCCAUUCUGAGAGCUGGGGGCUCAGUUUAAAGCCACACAGCUGCAGGUAAAAACAGAAUUAUACCCACAGCUUUGAAACAGUAUAUAAUGUAUAUAAAUGUGGACAUUUACAUGAUCCUAAGAAGUUUCCUGAUUCUCUGACUUCAGCUCUGACAAGUUUUUAUUAUUUAGGUGAAAUUCAUUGGUUUUGUGAGAUGUCAGAUAACACUCAUGGACGGAUAAUUUGUUUGUUUGAUGCAAAUUAAUUAAAAAUGAUCAGUGGACCAAACUCAGAAAUCAUUAACCUGUUAUGAACUCUAAUCUUAAAUAAGUAAGUAGAAUUUUGGGGUUGGGGAUGAACACAACUGCAGUGAUGCCAUUUAACUUCCUGUCCAAAACUUGGCCUCCAAACUCUGGAGCAUGCCCAGAAAAAAAUCUAUUUAGUUUAGUGAACAAAAAGGUCAAGUAUUUACAAAACAAACAAAAAAAAUCUGAUUCUGAACUAGAAAAAUGAGAUGCCAAGGAGAAACACUGGCACACUGGAAAGAUGACCCACAGACACAGACCAUGAACCGACACUGAAGGAGAGAAAGACAGAGAUUAGGGCAAAAACAAGCAACAGGUGGGAAAGACAAGACACAAGUUGACCAAUCAAAAAGAGGGAAAGGAGGAAAUCAAGACUUUACACUCAAGAGAAUAGGAUUACAAAAUAAAACAGGAAACACUUGGAACUAUAACACGGCACAGAAAUGAUCAAAAAUAAAACAACAAUGCACACAAGAAAGAGGAACACAAGGAAACAUACUCAUGUGAACUAUAACCGAGUUUUCUAACAUAUUAACGGCACCGAUUGAAGAGAGAGGAGACCCUGUUUAUAUCCUGCCCCAUUAUAGUUAUAUGAUCUUUAUUGAUAAUCCUGAACUCCAGGCG